rnacentral:rRNA from 1 species
CUACGAGACGCUGCAGUGGGGAAUUUUGCGCAAUGGGCGAAAGCCUGACGCAGCAAUACCGCGUGAGUGAAGAAGGCCUUUGGGUCGUAAAGCUCUUUUCUGGGGGAAGAUAGUGACGGUACCCCAGGAAUAAGCACCGACUAACUCCGUGCCAGCAGCCGCGGUAAUACGGAGGGUGCAAGCGUUGUUCGGAUUUACUGGGCGUAAAGGGCACGUAGGCGGCACAGCAAGUUAAGGGUGAAAUCCCGGGGCUCAACUCCGGAACUGCUCUUAAAACUGCUGAGCUAGAGAUGGUCAGAGGCGGGUAGAAUUCCUGGUGUAGAGGUGAAAUUCGUAGAUAUCAGGAGGAAUACCGGUGGCGAAGGCGGCCCGCUGGGGCCAUUCUGACGCUAAGGUGCGAAAGCGUGGGGAGCGAACGGGAUUAGAUACCCGCGUAGUC